rnacentral:rRNA from 1 species
GACAGUGACGAUAGCCAGGAGGUCCCACCCGUUCCCAUCCCGAACACGGAAGUUAAGCUCCAUGGCGCCGAUGGUACUGCAGGGGCCACCCUGUGGGAGAGUAGGUUAUCGCUGUCC